GAUGAAGAACGUAGCGAAAUGCGAUAAGUAAUGUGAAUUGCAGAAUUCAGUGAAUCAUCGAAUCUUUGAACGCACCUUGCACCCUUUGGCAUUCCGAAGGGUAUGCUCGUUUGAGUGUCAUUGUACUCUCACACUCUCCGAUCCUAUGGAUUCGGGGAGCGGUGGACUUGGGUGUUGCUGCCUUUCCCUGUGGCUCACCUCAAAUGCGUCAGUGCACCUCUUGGUUGGACAUAGUACGGCGUGAUAAGUGUCUUCGCCGGCACCUCGCAAGAGGGUGGCCGAUCGGGAGCUCUGCGCUUUCAAACCGUCUUCGGACAAUUUCUGACAUCUUGACCUCUAAUCGAGUAGGACUACCCGCUGAACUUAAGCAUAUCAAUAAGCGGAGGA
rnacentral:misc_RNA from 1 species